AGGGAACUGGAGAUUAAGCCCAGUUUGAAGAGGUGUGAUGGUCAGAUAACUCACAUUUGGACUGGAGUGUAGGGUAAGCUUUGUUUUUAGUUUGAAGUUGUUUUGGAGGUUUUUCCAAAUGUCAUUCCAAAAACGGAAUAUUGAAUGAUAGUUGGAAGUAAUGAACAGGAUGAAAAAAGCUUUUUAAAUAUUACUGUGGUGAUUUUGUAAUUGCAUAUAGUAAUAGAUAAAUUAAUAGUAUUUGGGUGAUAACCAUCUAAUUUUUGGCAUUAGAUAGCUGGCAAAUCUCAGCACUGGUGCAUUUGAUAAAACAACUGAAUCUUGACCAUUUGAACUUA